AACCCCUAACUCACCCAGCGGAAUCAAAUUCAAAACUGCUUUCCAGGGCUUGUCCAGGACCCAGAGUGCAUAGGAUUCCCACAGGGAAAAAAACCCUGCCGAAGAUGAGCUCUCAACAGAAACUACAAACCACUCGAGGACGUGGGUUACCUUGAGCGGCAAUUCCCAGAAGUAGACUUGUUGGGACCAAGAGAAGUGAAAUGCUUGAUGCUCAGUGCAUGUUGCCAGAUUGCUUUCCAGAAGGAUAAACCAGUUAGUACUCUCACGCAGAGUGUGAAAGAUACUGUUUCAGAGAGUGGGGACCGGCGAUUUUCAUCGUCUGCUUUACAAUUUCCCA